rnacentral:lncRNA from 10 species
CUCGCCCGCGCGCGCCGGCGCCCCCUCCCCGCCACGUGACCGGCGUCCCAGUCCGACCCGCGCGCUGCGCCCCUGCUGAGCGGCGCGGAGCUACCACGCCCUGCCAGACUCGCCCUUGGGUCCCUGUCUGACGAGCUCUAGGCAAUCUGCCCUCGUUCGGGACACAACCAUCGGUCUCACCCCUCAGUUUCUGCCAGAGAAAAAGGAAAAGUCACCGAGAGGCCUGACCCUGACGGGUGGGGGAGAUGCGCGUGCGGAGUAGCGGGAAGCGACUGAGGAGCGGGGAAUGGGCAGCAUUUGAAUGGAUGCGGGUGCCGCUGGCACCCGGGAAGACGCUGGGGGCCGGCGCUGUAGAGCCGGGCAUGGGCUGGGAUGUGUUUGGAUUCCAAUCCGGGCCUGACACCAGUUCAGUGACCUCGGGAAGUUCCCCAACCCUCCGGGCCUGUUUCCUCCCUCUGAAGUGGCGACAGUAGUAGAACCGACCUCGUAGGCUCAUCGGGAGGUCCUGAUGGGAGAACCCAUGCAACUUGCCACCAUAGAGCCAGGCCCGCGGCGGUUGGCGCCUGGUGGGUAUUAAAGACGAGUCGGGAAAGAAGAGCAGCCCUGUGAAGUGGGCACUGCCCUGAACAUUUUGUAAAUAAGGGACCCGAGGCUCAGAGAGGUGAAGUAACUUUCCAGACAGCCCAGCUCGUCAGCGGCCAGCAUUUGAAGUCACACUCCAGAGCCUGUUUUUAACAUAAUAGCCGCUGUGACCGCAUAACCAACGUGUGUGUUGAAGUGAUCAAAUAACCAUGGAGUGUCUUUGAUGUCCAGGACUUUUGAGAAAUACCGAAAAAUAUGAGGCAAGGCCCCUGCCUUCAAAGAGCUUGCAAGUUUUUGGGGGAGACUUAGGCACAAAUUAACCAACAUCUGUUGAGCACUUGCUGCUUGCCAGGACCCUGCCCUUCCCCUCGUGUCUUCCUCCCUUCCAGGACUCACCCCCUCACUUACCCUCCCCCUCACUUACCCUCCCCCUCAAUUCUCACAGCAACCCUGGGAGGUAGGCCUUAUGGUUUCUGUUUUGCAAAUGAAGAACCUGAGAUUGAAGAAGAGUAGAGAUUGGAGGAUCAGAUCCUGAGAGGUCCCAUGUGCUUUCCAAUAACAGUUCAGUAUAUUAGAAGACAGUGUGGCAUCCACGGCCAAGUACUACUAGUUGAUAGACUGGAUGCUGCUAUGGUAAUCUGCCUCAGGAAAAUGCCGGACUGUUGUUUGCAAGCUGGUUAAGUGAGCAAAUCUUGGGAAGAUUUCAAGCACACCAACAUGGCACAUGUAUACAUAUGUAACAAACCUGCACAUUGUGCACAUGUACCCUAAAACUUAAAGUGUAACAAUAAUAAAAUUUUUUUAAAAAAGUUUAUUCUUAAGUAUCUUAUUUUUGUGUAGUUAUUGUAAAUGGAAUUAUCUUCCUGAUUUCUUUUAGGAAAGGAUUCUUUUUAAACAAUAUUUUGUCAUUAAGAACACUGCCCCCCCCUCAUAAUAUAUAAUAAUUUAAUAGGGAAUAUGGAAAAUGUGAUUUGCUUUUGAACCAUGUUUGAAAAAAGGUUUGCUAAACAAAUACCUGGAGUAAAGAAGAUAAUGCCAAUCCUAAAGACAUUCUUUCUUUAAAGUUGAGAGCCCUCUCAUUCAGAAUAUCAUCAUCUAAUUUCAGGUUAUAUGUCAGGUGUAGUCCUACUGCUUUCAAAGGCCUAUGUCUGGAUCUAGGAUGAAUUUUGCCAUUCUUUAAAGAAAGACUAACUCGGUAUUCGUGAGAUGCACUCUAAGCUCCUCCCUGACCUCCCCCGUUUCUCUUCAGCUCUCUUUGCUCUGUUUUGACCUAUCACUUAUCUUACCAGCUUGCACCAGUUUAGUAUCCUAAUCAGUUACUUCUCUGGCACUCUACUGACAUGGCAUGGCGCAGUCAAAAUAGUUUGCUAGAAAACAAAAUGUUUGCAAUAAAAAUGUCUUCAACAUGACAAAUAAGUCAAAAAUUAUUGUUUCCAACUGCUGGUUUUUUGUAUGUUUAGUUAUUCUGGUGGCCAGGGAUUUGCUUUAUUGCUUCUUUGGGCCUUUGAGAAUUUUUUUGUGCACACACAGACACACACACACACACACAUAUAUAUAUGUUUCUUAAGGAAUCAUAUUGUACAUACUGUUUCUUUCCACUAACACGGAAUCUCACUCUGUCUGCCAGGCUGGAGUGCAGUGGCGAGAUCUCAGCUCACUGCAACCUCGGCCUCCCGGGUUCAAGCGAUUCUCCUGCCUCAGCCUCCCAAGUAGCUAGGCUUACAGGGGCGUGCCACCAUGCCCGACUGAUUUUUGUAUUUUUAGUAGAGACAGGGUUUCACCAUGUUGGCCAGGCUAGUCUUGAACCCCUGACCUCAGAUCCACCCGCCUCGGCCUCCCAAAUUGCUGGGAUUACAGGCGUGAGCCACCACGCCUGGCCGCUGUUUACUACUUUUUAAAUAUUUGCAGGCUGGGCGUGGCAGCUCACGCCUGUAAUCCCAGCACUUUGGAAGGCUGAGGCAGGUGGAUCACGAGGUCGGGAGUUUCAGACCAGCCUGGCCAAAGUGGUGAAACCCCGUCUCUACUAAAAAUACAAAAAUUGGUGGCGGGUGCCUGUAAUCCCAGCUACUCGGGAGGCUGAGGCAGAGAAUUGCUUGAACCCGGGAGGCAGAGGUUGUAGUGAGCUGAGAUGGCGCCACUGCAUUCCAGCCUGGGCGACAGCGAGCCUUUGUCUCAAAAAAUAUAUAUAUAUAUAUAUUUGCAAUGGCUUGAUAAUAUGAAACAUUUACGUUGCUUCUUAAUAAUUAUCUAAGAAUUAAUUUAGAUUAAAAAGCACAAAAGUUUGAAACAUACCUAAAAUAUUAUGAUAAUCUGACAGUACUGCUUUAAAACUUUAAAGGUGGCAAAACAAUCCAUAUGGAAAACAAGCAGCUGAGAAUAUUCCUUUUUGACCCAUUUAUCUUCAAAUUCAAUUUGUUUUCCUUUUUUUUUUUUUUUUUGAGAUGGAGUCUUGCUCUGUCGCCCAGGCUGGAGUGCAGUGGCGCGAUUUUGGCGCACUGCAAGCUCGGCCUCCCAGGUUCACGCCACUCUCCUGCCUCAGCCUCCUGAGUAGCUGGGACUACAGGCACCCACCACCACGUAGAGAUGGAGUUUCACCAUGUUAGCUAGGAUGGUCUCGAUCUCCUGACCUCGUGAUCCUUCCACCUUGGCCUCCCAAAGUGCUGGGAUUACAGGCGUGAGCCACUGCACCCGGCCAAAUUAAAUUUGUUUUUAACCAGAUUACCUGAGGCUCAAUCUAUGUCAUCCUAAUUCCCACUCUGGUCUGAUAUGGCUUGACUCCUGUUCCUUGUUUUUGCUAGCCCAGGGGGAUAGUUUUGACCUGUGCUCUUUGUAAUGUACAUCAUCGCUAUUUAGGAUCUUUUCUAGGAAGCAUUCUUUCUAGAGAUGGUCCUAUGUAUUUGCCAGACCUGUUUUCUUCCUUGACCCCUAGCUACUAAAAGUCCUAACCCUGAGUAGCUUCCCCACCUCCCUCUUUUCCUCCCUCCCUUCCCUCCUUUCUUCCUUCCAUCUCUAGUAAAGUAUUUUAGGCAAAUGGGAUGGGGAGUUCAAUAAUAACAAUAAUAAAUUGAUGAUAGCCAAGAUUUCUGGGAUACUUACCAUAUGCCAAGCAUUGCUCUAAGCACUUUAGAUGUAGUAACACUCAUUAAUUCCUCACAAAAAUGCUAUAAACUAGGAACUGUUACAAUCCCCAUUUUACAGACAUAUACAGAUACAGAGAGGUUAAGUAGCUUCCCCAAGGUCACAUAAUCAGUAUUGUCUCGAGUCAUCAGAAAGUAGUCAUCAUGGCCGGGCAAGUUGUCUCACGCCUGUAAUCCCAGCACUUUGGGAGGCCAAGGCAGAUGGAUCACGAGGUCAGGAGUUUGAGACCAGCCUGGCCAACAUAGUGAAACCCUGUCUCUACUAAAAAUACAAAAAUUAGCCAGAUGUGGUGGCAGGCACCUGUAGUCCCAGAUACUUGGGAGGCUGAGGCAGGAGAAUGGCUUGAACCUGGGAGGGAAGGUUUACAGUGAGCUGAGACCGCACCAUCACACUCCAGCCUUGGCAACAGAGCAAGACUCUGCCUGAAAAAAAAAAAAAAAAGAAAGUAGUCAUCAUUUAGUUUUCACCAAAAAUACACAAGUAGAAAUUGUCAUUUUUAGCUAUUAAUACCAUAGGAGACUAAUCCAUAGAAUUUAAGGCCAUCUUGACUUAGAAAAACCCUGUUUUGGGUUCCUUUUAUGUUAGUAGAGCAAAACAACCAUUAUGAAAGCAUGUGCCAUGAAAGGUGCCUUUGAAACCAGAGAUUCACCACAGAGAACUACCCCUUGCUUAUCUGAAUUUGGGGUAGUUAUCAGUCUCUAGUCAGCUAAGUUGGGGACAAAGAUGAUGGGACAUGGUUUUGUUAGCAGCUUAUCUAUUUAUUUAUUUAUUUAUUUUUUGAGAUGGAGUUUCACUCUUUCACCCAGGCUGGAGUGAAGUGGUGCAAUCUCGGCUCACUGCAACGUCCGCCCCCUCGGUGGGUUCAAGCAAUUCUCCUGUGUCAGCCUCCAAAGCAGCUGGGAUUACAGGCGCAUGCCACCACACCAGGCUGAUUUUUGUAUGUUUAGUAGAGAUGGGAUUUCACCAUGUUGGCCAGGCUAGUCUUGAACUUCUGACCUCAGGUGAUCCACCCACCUCAGCCUCCCAAAGUGCUGCAAUUACAGGUGUGAGUCACCACGCCCAGCCAACUAACAGCUUAAUUUUAAGGUCACCUAUUUCUAGGAAGUUCUGGGUGUCCUGGUCCCCAUAUUCCAUGCUAUAAGAUCAUUCAGUGUGAGAACCUGGACUUUAUAGCCCUCACCCAAAGCAGCAGCAGAUAGUUGGAAUUAUUGGACAGCUGCACAUCAAGCCUACUGUGAUUCAGCUGAGGGGUGCAUGCAGCGAAGGAGGCCUCUAACAUCACAGUGACUGGCUUUGUGUAUCCAUCUGCCUGGGGAUCCAGACCUGGGUGUUCUACCUGGACCUUCAUACUGCUGCACUGGUGAGCAAGAUGAGGCUUAAAUAAAGCAUACUAUUCAAUUUGUGGUGACCUCUGAGAACCCCAAAUCUGCCAUGAAUCCCUGCACCACACAAUACCUGUGACACCUGUGCCAAGGUGAGGUCCAGUAGCUACCAAACCUACUUCUGAGCUGCAUAUUAGAGUGAAGCCUUCCUCCCUACCCUCCCUCUGUCUUACCUUUUGCACAAAUCAUGGGUUCAGAUGUUAUACCUAUUAUUGCACUCUGAUAAGUUUUUUUUUUUUUUUUUUUUGCAG